rnacentral:rRNA from 1 species
GGGUUGUGAGGUUAAGCGACUAAGCGUACACGGUGGAUGCCCUGGCAGUCAGAGGCGAUGAAGGACGUGCUAAUCUGCGAAAAGCGCCGGCGAGGUGAUAUGAACCCUUGACCCGGCGAUGUCCGAAUGGGGAAACCCAGUGCAAUUCGUUGCACUAUCGUUAACUGAAUACAUAGGUUAACGAGGCGAACCGGGGGAACUGAAACAUCUAAGUACCCCGAGGAAAAGAAAUCAACCGAGAUUCCCCCAGUAGCGGCGAGCGAACGGGGAGCAGCCCGGAGUCUGAAUCAGCUUGUGUGUUAGUGGAACGGUCUGGAAAGUCCGACGGUACAGGGUGAUAGUCCCGUACACGAAAAUGCACAGGUUGUGAACUCGAAGAGUAGGGCGGGACACGUGGUAUCCUGUCUGAAUAUGGGGGGACCAUCCUCCAAGGCUAAAUACUCCUGACUGACCGAUAGUGAACCAGUACCGUGAGGGAAAGGCGAAAAGAACCCCGGCGAGGGGAGUGAAAAAGAACCUGAAACCGUGUACGUACAAGCAGUGGGAGCCUCUUUAUGGGGUGACUGCGUACCUUUUGUAUAAUGGGUCAGCGACUUAUAUUCUGUAGCAAGGUUAACCGUAUAGGGGAGCCGAAGGGAAACCGAGUCUUAACUGGGCGUUAAGUUGCAGGGUAUAGACCCGAAACCCGGUGAUCUAGCCAUGGGCAGGUUGAAGGUUGGGUAACACUAACUGGAGGACCGAACCGACUAAUGUUGAAAAAUUAGCGGAUGACCUGUGGCUGGGGGUGAAAGGCCAAUCAAACCGGGAGAUAGCUGGUUCUCCCCGAAAGCUAUUUAGGUAGCGCCUCGUGAACUCAUCUUCGGGGGUAGAGCACUGUUUCGGCUAGGGGGCCAUCCCGGCUUACCAACCCGAUGCAAACUACGAAUACCGAAGAAUGUUAUCACGGGAGACACACGGCGGGUGCUAACGUCCGUCGUGAAGAGGGAAACAACCCAGACCGCCAGCUAAGGUCCCAAAGUCAUGGUUAAGUGGGAAACGAUGUGGGAAGGCACAGACAGCCAGGAUGUUGGCUUAGAAGCAGCCAUCAUUUAAAGAAAGCGUAAUAGCUCACUGGUCGAGUCGGCCUGCGCGGAAGAUGUAACGGGGCUAAACCAUGCACCGAAGCUGCGGCAGCGACACUAUGUGUUGUUGGGUAGGGGAGCGUUCUGUAAGCCGUUGAAGGUGUGCUGUGAGGCAUGCUGGAGGUAUCAGAAGUGCGAAUGCUGACAUAAGUAACGAUAAAGCGGGUGAAAAGCCCGCUCGCCGGAAGACCAAGGGUUCCUGUCCAACGUUAAUCGGGGCAGGGUGAGUCGACCCCUAAGGCGAGGCCGAAAGGCGUAGUCGAUGGGAAACAGGUUAAUAUUCCUGUACUUGGUGUUACUGCGAAGGGGGGACGGAGAAGGCUAUGUCAGCCGGGCGACGGUUGUCCCGGUUUAAGCAUGUAGGCGGAGGUUCCAGGUAAAUCCGGUACCUUAUUAACGCUGAGGUGUGAUGACGAGGCACUACGGUGCUGAAGUGAUAAAUGCCCUGCUUCCAGGAAAAGCCUCUAAGCAUCAGGUAACACGAAAUCGUACCCCAAACCGACACAGGUGGUCAGGUAGAGAAUACCAAGGCGCUUGAGAGAACUCGGGUGAAGGAACUAGGCAAAAUGGUGCCGUAACUUCGGGAGAAGGCACGCUGAUA